UCAGGAUGAACGCUGGCGGCGUGCCUAACACAUGCAAGUCGAACGGGGUUAAGGGAAAUUUCGGAUGGAACUUAACUAGUGGCGGACGGGUGAGUAACGCGUGGAUAACCUGCCUCACACAGGGGGAUAGCAGCUGGAAACGGCUGGUAAUACCGCAUAAGACCACGGUGCCGCAUGGCACAGGGGUAAAAGAUUUAUCGGUGUGAGAUGGAUCCGCGUCUGAUUAGCCAGUUGGCGGGGUAACGGCCCACCAAAGCGACGAUCAGUAGCCGGCCUGAGAGGGUGAACGGCCACAUUGGGACUGAGACACGGCCCAAACUCCUACGGGAGGCAGCAGUGGGGAAUAUUGCACAAUGGGCGCAAGCCUGAUGCAGCAACGCCCGCGUGAGUGAAGAAGUAUUUCGGUAUGUAAAGCUCUAUCAGCAGGGAAGAAAGGCCCUUCGGGGAGAUGACGGUACCUGACUAAGAAGCCCCGGCUAACUACGUGCCAGCCGCCGC
rnacentral:rRNA from 1 species